rnacentral:rRNA from 1 species
AUUGAACGCUGGCGGCAUGCCUUACACAUGCAAGUCGAACGGUAACAGGUCUUCGGAUGCUGACGAGUGGCGAACGGGUGAGUAAUACAUCGGAACGUGCCCGAUCGUGGGGGAUAACGAGGCGAAAGCUUUGCUAAUACCGCAUACGAUCUACGGAUGAAAGCGGGGGACCUUCGGACCUCGCGCGGACGGAGCGGCCGAUGGCAGAUUAGGUAGUUGGUGGGAUAAAAGCUUACCAAGCCGACGAUCUGUAGCUGGUCUGAGAGGAUGAUCAGCCACACUGGGACUGAGACACGGCCCAGACUCCUACGGGAGGCAGCAGUGGGGAAUUUUGGACAAUGGGCGAAAGCCUGAUCCAGCCAUGCCGCGUGCAGGAUGAAGGCCUUCGGGUUGUAAACUGCUUUUGUACGGAACGAAAAGCCUCUUUCUAAUAAAGAGGGGUCAUGACGGUACCGUAAGAAUAAGCACCGGCUAACUACGUG